CAUUUUGUCCGCGCAGCCGCGGGGAGCUGGGGGGCGGGGGGUGACGCAACCCCGAGAGUGACCCCCACGAUGGCCAGUGGGGCUGAAUGUGAGGCCGCCGGCCCCCGAUGAGGAAACCCCUCCGCGUCUGACCCCCCCCCGGCCACCAGGACCUGCCCAAGCCCGGCCCUGGACACCCCAUGGGAGCAGGUACGUUUGAUGUCAUCGAUGACAUCAUUCCCCCGCCCCAAUUUUGGUGAUGACAUCACACCCAGCUCACCUUGAGCCCUGAAAACACUCGGGAUGGCUGAAAAAUUGGGAUGAGGGUGGAGGGGACGGGAAUGGGGGAGGGGAGACACUCACCCCCCCCCCUUCCCCCCUCCCCCCUUCGCUUUCCCACAGGUGGCACGAGCCGAGGGCGGGGCCGGAGAUGUGCCCCCGCUCGGAUGGAUCCCGCGGCCUCGUGUCACAAGUUCAAUGAAAUCGAUAUUUUUGUUCAAUAAAAUGGAUAUUUUUGAUACAAAA
rnacentral:lncRNA from 1 species